UUUAGGACGAUCGAAAGAUCCGCACGCAAUUCCUUAUCUUGUCUGCAAAAGUUUGGUUCUUUAUAGUUGUAGAACAGAGACAGAAAGAAGGACAAUGAAGGUUAUGGCGGCCCUCCUCGCUUUUGCCAUUUCUGGCCUCUUGGUGCCAGACACUACAGCUUUACCAACCGGCGAGGUAUUAGGCGUUGCCUCAAAGGAAGCUCAGCGCUCGGACGGAAAUGCUGAAGACGCCGAAGCCCGCCUAUCUGUUGCUUGUGUGAACAACCACUGCGAAGUUUCACCGCUGAGAAAAUAAGGCCAAAGGUCGAGAAUAUGUAUUUGGGACUGAAACGCAGCCUUGGGUACUUCCAUUUCUUUUCGAAAGCAGCAUUUGUGUUUCUCAGCCGUAGCUGCAAACGUUUGUGCGUGGGAUGAACUGCGCGACUGCACUUUUCUGGUGGUGGGUGAAUAAAGUAGCCGUCGUUGAUGCAAAA